CUCUUGGCCUUAACCUAAGGUGUUAAUUGUUUUGUAGGUGCAAAAUCGUCCAAGAUCAAGGAGGAAGAAAUUUGCAUCCACAAACAUAUAACUUGGAAAUUGUAUACUGGACAACAGAAAUGCAAUUGUUGACCUUUCAUGAGUCCAAAAGUCCAGUUUAGUUUCUUUCUGACUGUCGUUGAGCUCCUUAAGAAACCUAAACAGAAUUUCUCUAUAGGAAGGCAUUCUUCAACAAUUUAACUCUUCAAGUGAUGGCCAAUCUAAAGUACAUUUUCCUUGAGAAACUAUUAUGAGAUUUGGUAGAGCGCCAACUUCCAAAUGACUUGGCUGAGGGAGCAAGCUGUUAUCCUCUGAUUCUUCACCCGCUAGCGGUUUUGCAACUACCACUUCCAUCUUCUUGCAUUAAAUUAUGGAUAGACCUUUGAGCUUCACCAUAUAUACCUCUGGCAAUGGAAGGAGAGGCAUAAACUCCAAACUGCCACAACCAGAAAUGUGUAAUGAUGUUUAUUGAAAGACUCGGAUUCAAUUGGACUCCCUGAUUUGAAUCAUUUGAGGUUGGGAAAUUGAAGAUGUUUCGCCCAAAUGAGAAAGUGUUGCAGCGUGUUCUUCCUUGGUAUUUGACCCUAUGGACUCAAAAAUCUCUUCCAGUCAGCGAAUCGCAACCGUAUACGUGUAGGUCUCUAAGUUCACAGAAGGAGUAAGGCAGAAGCUGCCUACUUCAUAACUCUCCGAAGUUGUCCAUAUCACGAAUUUCUAGUGUCUUCAGAGCUGGAAAAUCAACGUGGAAAAUACAUUGAAUGUUAUUAGUACCAACAAUGGUUAACAACUAAAACUUGCAGGCAUAGAAUUCGAGUCAUGUGCAUACCUUUACAUUGAAAAUGUGAUUUGGAAAUUAACAAUUGGUCCCGUAACUACAAAUGAUAGAACAAACGUCUUCAUGGUAAGUUAGCCAAUCACCAGAGUUGUCGUCGAACAUGAAGAUGCUGUCAGUAAUAGAAGAACCUUGUAUGGGCUUAAUAGUUAGUUGGGCUACUCUCUAUUUUGCCAAUUGAUUUUAUAGUGGAAUCCUACUUCUUUAUGAUAUAAAACUAGGUUGUCCCACAUGUGAAGUAUGUUUGUACCAUGCUUGACUAAUCCCGAAACUACCGAGCACCGGUCAACGUUAUACCGUCAAGAACCCAAAAGAGUUUCCCUCCAACCAGGAA
rnacentral:lncRNA from 1 species